GUAGGGUGCAAGCGUUAUCCGGAAUCAUUGGGCGUAAAGAGCCCGUAGGCGGUUCAGCAAGUCGGCUGUGAAAUCCCGAGGCUUAACCUCGGAACUGCAGUCGAUACUGCUGUGACUAGAGUCCGGUAGAGGAGAAUGGAAUUCCCGGUGUAGCGGUGAAAUGCGCAGAUAUCGGGAGGAACACCAGUAGCGAAGGCGGUUCUCUGGGCCGGUACUGACGCUGAGGAGCGAAAGCGUGGGUAGCAAACAGGAUUAGAUACCCUGGUAGUCCACGCCGUAAACGUUGGACACUAGGUGUGGCGUUCCGACCAACGGGUGCCCGUGCCGAAGCUAACGCAUUAAGUGUCCCCGCCUGGGGAUACGGCCGCAAGGCUA
rnacentral:rRNA from 1 species